rnacentral:rRNA from 2 species
UAAUGGGUCAGCGACUUAUAUUCAGUGGCAAGGUUAACCAUCUAGGGGAGCCGUAGGGAAACCGAGUCUUAACUGGGCGUUCAGUCUCUGGAUAUAGACCCGAAACCAGGUGAUCUAGCCAUGGGCAGGUUGAAGGUUGAGUAACAUCAACUGGAGGACCGAACCGACUAAUGUUGAAAAAUUAGCGGAUGACUUGUGGCUAGGGGUGAAAGGCCAAUCAAACCUGGAGAUAGCUGGUUCUCCCCGAAAGCUAUUUAGGUAGCGCCUCGGACGAAUACUACUGGGGGUAGAGCACUGUUAAGGCUAGGGGGUCAUCCCGACUUACCAACCCUUUGCAAACUCCGAAUACCAGUAAGUACUAUCCGGGAGACACACGGCGGGUGCUAACGUCCGUCGUGGAGAGGGAAACAACCCAGACCGCCAGCUAAGGUCCCAAAUUACUACUAAGUGGGAAACGAUGUGGGAAGGCUCAGACAGCCAGGAUGUUGGCUUAGAAGCAGCCAUCAUUUAAAGAAAGCGUAAUAGCUCACUGGUCGAGUCGGCCUGCGCGGAAGAUGUAACGGGGCUAAGUA